CCAAACCCCGCGUUCGGUUCCUUACAAAGUUCAUCUCGGCUUUGCAAAAACCAGCCCCUGCUGCACAGAGCACCAGUCCGCAGUGAUCUCCACUUCCCUCGAAACCCAGGCUGAACCAAGGUCCAGCAGCAGAGGAAGCCUUGGUGAGAACUGUGCUCCCCUUCUGCUCCUCCGCACUUCUCCCUCCUCCUCAUCAGUCAUUCAAACUGAAAGCUCUUCCUCAAAUCAGACCCUGUGUUUUCCCCCAAAAUCCCCGUUUUGUCCUCAAGGGUUGCAGUGCUCUGUGCAGAAAUUGCAGCCAAGUGUUGGAGCAUCCUCAGAAGUGCCCAGAGGGGAUGACACCAACACGUGGAAUCCUUCCUGAGCCUGUGUCCGUGUCCUGGCCCUUCUCGGAGUGACUUUCAACACAAACAUCUCCUUCAUUUUCUGAGAUCCGUGGGCUGAGGUGUUCCACCUGCCAGGUGGGAAAGCAGUGCAGAAAAAUCACAGCGAGUUCCUAGAAAGAAGGAACAGAGCAGGAGCAGGC
rnacentral:lncRNA from 1 species